CGUCCUGUUGCAGCAAACCACAUUGUCACAUUUUUGAAGUCGCAUUUUGAUCACGAUGAAGUCAUCAAACUUCUCAGAAUUUUGAAUAGGAAAGAGGAAGCAAUGAUGUUGGAGUACAAGAUAGCUUUGUCUUCGUCCUCACAAGUUGACUCCCAAAUACAAGCAAUCGUCC